rnacentral:lncRNA from 1 species
UCAUUUCCUCUGUUGAAACUGCUCCACUCUUUCAUCUUCUUCUCGUGCUUGUCCACAGCAGAGACGGCUCAGAUCUGACGUUUUUGUGUCUUACUGAUGGUUCAGGGCUCGGGUGGUGCAGUGGCUGUAAGUAUAUGCUCGGGAACGUCGAGUCAGGUCUACUAGGGCGGCAUCCGCGGCCGUCGUCGUCGGCUAUUUCAUCUACAAAGGUUCCAAGCUCGCCUAUGACUCCACUGCCCUCCAGGUUACGUCCGAAUGCUCGCUCCCUCCUCCCAUCAGAUCCACUAGCAUGUUGGUUGGAAUCUGUGAAUAUUCACAUGUAUACACGGAACUACAGCUUCACAGCUUUGUCCUGAAUCAUAAUGAGUAUCUUUUCUCGCCAUUGAUUUCUGCACGUAUGGUUUAGCUCGCAUGUCUAGAUCUACAUGUUCACCUGGCUUAUGGUUCAUCUCAAUCAUGGAUGACAAAAUGUUAAAAUCCUAGCUUAUAGACACUAUAUUAAUGUGGGUGGAUACAAUUUUAGAAGAUGAAACUUCAAUAAAAUGAAAAGGAAAAAUUAUAUUGAUUGAUGUCUUCCAUCCUUUUCCUGAAUCAUAAUGCUGAUCUUUUCUUUUGAUUUAUGUUUCUUUAUUUAAGUUAGCUCAUCAUAUAGGUUCAGCUGGUUUGUUGGAUGCCAGGUCUUUCUUGUCACUUUUGACAACCUUUUGAUUUGUAUCUUGAGCCACAUUUUCUACUUCUUGUCUUUUCAAUGUGAGAAUACCAGACACGAAAUGAUGCAUAUGCACUAUGAUACCUGGAUCACUUUAAAUUCAGGAUUAUUCAUGGCUAAUUCAGGAUUGAAGCAGGGGAAAAACCCCCUCCUCCAUGUUGCCUGCUGAUUAUUUGGGGAUGUUUGUGGAGAGAGAUGUUGAUACUUCUAUAGGCCUAUCACUUUAAAUUUUAUUACAACCAGUUUUAUGCCUAGAACAAUCAGGGUGUCUAGUUUCUGCUUUAUGCCCCAUGUUUUACUAGCUACAAGCUCAGCUUCGUGCUCUGUAGGAAAUAAGUACAUCAUUAUUUAGGCGUGUUUUGAUAAUAGUGAAGAAUAAAGGUGUAUUCUGAUGUGGUGGUGCCAAACAAAACUUUUAUGCUUAUGCUGAGCUUACUUUUAAUAUUGUGAACAUGACAAUUUAUAGGCUGUACUGCAGUUCCACUCCUUUUAUUCUGUGUGCUGAGCUUACCUUUGUAUGUCAGGAUUUUUUCUUCAUCUAUUACCCUUCCUUUGGCUGUAGUUUAUCUUCGUACAGAAACCAAUCUUGGUGUUCUUCCUACUUGCAUUUGAUUAUGUUUUUAAAAUUCCCUAGCACAACUAUAUAUGACAAUGUUUUUUUUUCUGUUUUCAGUGUCUAUAGUGCAUUUGCAUGAUCUUGAAUUAUGUGCUGCAGAAUAUAAUUAGCUGAUUUAAACUGCUGUUUUCCUUCGCAUAAUCAAAUGCCCUUUGUUUUUGCAGUAUGCAUGCCCAAGUCAAGCUUGCGGUCAUGAUGAAGGUGCUGAUUUAGGUUUCCUAUCUUCAGAAGUAAAAUGUUUGCUUGCUACCUUCUUUACGGUACCACUUUCUAAUCAAGUUCUUGAGCACAGGAGUUAUGUAUACAAAUCAUGUGCUAUUUAUGCACUGAGCCAUUUUCUUGUCUACUUAGCUGAAUCAUGUCUUUUUGUACUAAGCGUCACUUACUAGUAUUUGGCUUCUAUGUGCUAAUUAAACCUGAUGAGUAUGUAUACUUCUUUGAUGUUGCAUAAUAUUGGUGUCAAAGGGGUUAAUUUAAACCGGAUAUGAUCUACUGGAACAAUUUUUUGCUGUUCAAACAUUUAAAUUCUUGUUCUUUGUUUCAAACAUCAAAAUGUUGUUUACUUUGUCCUUGUAUGCUUAAAUGAUAAAAAUGUCACAUUUAUAGGAUUGUAAACCUGAUGUGAUUGGAGUAGUAUUUACUUGUUGCUGGUAGUUACUACUUGUAUCCACUGGUUUCUAUGCCUCAUUUUGCUUGUUUUACUUUAUUUAUGCACACAGACUGCCUAAAAGUUAAUGGUCUUUUAGAUUAGCCUUUAUUUUGCUCCUAACCAUAUUGUUUGAUAACUUGCAGAUGAUGUACUUCAUUUGUGUUUCAUCGUGGGCUCUAGGACGAAGAAGUCGGGGGAAUCAUAGACUUCUAGCUCAUUGGAGCUAGUUAUACUUCGAUAGCUAGUUAUUUUUUUAUUCUUUAGUUGUGUUACCUGAUGCGAACUAUUUCUGAUUGUAAACCUGAUGUGAACCAUGUUUGAUCGCAAUGUGCCAGGUUUGGCUCUUUUUGAUUGCAUUCAUGAUUUGAACCAUGUUUUCAAGAUAUUUAGUUAUGUUCUGUUUGAAGUAUUGUGUAAAUAUUGGUUAUUUAUUUA